GAUGAACGCUGGCGGCGUGCUUAACACAUGCAAGUCGAACGUGAACCAGUAGCAAUAUUGGGGAAAGUGGCGGACGGGUGAGUAACACGUGGGUGACCUGCCUUGCAGCGGGGGAUAACGAGGGGAAACCUUCGCUAAUACCGCAUAGGCUUACACUGAUGGGAAUGGUGUGGGUAAAACUGAGGUGCUGCAAGAGGGGCCUGCGUCCGAUUAGCUAGUUGGUGAGGUAAAGGCUCACCAAGGCGAUGAUCGGUAGCUGGUCUGAGAGGACGAUCAGCCACACGGGAACUGAGAGACGGUCCCGACUCCUACGGGGGGCAGCAGUGAGGAAUAUUGGGCAAUGGGCUAACGGCCUGACCCAGCAACGCCGCGUGGAGGAUGAAGGUUUUUGGAUUGUAAAGCUCUGUCUGGAGGGACGAAGGAAGUGACGGUACCUCCGGAGGAAGCCACGGCUAACUACGUG
rnacentral:rRNA from 1 species